UGGAGAUCAAUCCUGAGAAUGCCAUCAUGGAUGAGCUCAGGAAGAGAGCUGAUGCUGAUAAGAAUGACAAGUCCGUCAAGGAUUUGGUUCUAUUGUUGUUUGAGACUGCUCUUCUCACUUCAGGUUUUAGCCUUGAUGAGCCAAACACAUUUGGCAACAGAAUUCACAGGAUGCUGAAGCUUGGUCUGAGUAUCGAUGAGGAUGGUGGAGAUGCUGAAGCUGACAUGCCAGCAUUGGAGGAUCCUGAAGCUGAUGCCGAGGGCAGCAAGAUGGAAGAAGUCGACUAAAUCUAUAGGAUGCCGGUGUUUUGUUUUGAUUAUUAUGAAGCCCUUAACCCCAGUAGUUUUUGUUUCUUCUACUCAGCUCCACCAUCUGGACAUGAUAUGUUUUGUUUUUACUGCAUUCUAAGAGUAGUAUUCAUUGGCUCAUUUUGUUACAACGUUUUAUGUGACAAUAGAAUCUGUACUUUGCCUAAUUGCUUAUUGCGUUCUUGUAUGGAAGUCUGCCUAGUUAACUUGCAGUAUAUGCCUUAGGAUUGAUUGGUCGUGA
rnacentral:misc_RNA from 1 species